rnacentral:rRNA from 1 species
UACGUAGGGUGCGAGCGUUAUCCGGAAUCAUUGGGCGUAAAGAGCUCGUAGGCGGUUCAGCAAGUCGGCUGUGAAAGUCCGAGGCUCAACCUCGGAAUUGCAGUCGAUACUGCUGUGACUCGAGCCCGGUAGAGGAGAACGGAAUUCCAGGUGUAGCGGUGAAAUGCGCAGAUAUCGGGAGGAUCACCAGUAGCGAAGGCGGUUCUCUGGGCCGGCACUGACGCCGAGGAGAGAAAGCGUGGGGAGCGAACAGG